CGUUGAAGCACCAGUUCCCAUAUAAUCACUGAAGUUAAGCAACAUUGAGCCUGGACAGUACCUAAAUGGGUAACUGCUUGGGAAUACCA